rnacentral:rRNA from 1 species
CUACGGGGUGCUCCAGUGGGGAGUAUUGGACAAUGGGGGAAACCCUGAUCCAGCAAUGCCGCGUGUGUGAAGAAGGCCUGCGGGUUGUAAAGCACUUUCGGUUGGGAGGACUGCUUCUAGCACUAAUAUUGUUGGAAGUUGACGUUACCUUCAGAAGAAGCACCGGCUAACUCCGUGCCAGCAGCCGCGGUAAUACGGAGGGUGCAAGCGUUAAUCGGAAUUACCGGGCGUAAAGCGCGCGUAGGCGGCUAGAUCAGUCGGGUGUGAAAGCCCCAGGCUUAACCUGGGAACUGCAUCCGAUACUGUCUAGCUUGAGUACAGGAGAGGAGAGUGGAAUUCCACAUGUAGCGGUGAAAUGCGUAGAUAUGUGGAGGAACACCAAUGGCGAAGGCAGCUCUCUGGCCUGAUACUGACGCUGAGGUGCGAAAGCGUGGGGAGUAAACAGGAUUAGAUACCCCUGUAGUC